rnacentral:rRNA from 1 species
CCUACGGGGGGCAGCAGUGAGGAAUAUUGGUCAAUGGACGAGAGUCUGAACCAGCCAAGUAGCGUGAAGGAUGACUGCCCUAUGGGUUGUAAACUUCUUUUAUAAAGGAAUAAAACGAGGCACGUGUGCCUUUUUGCAUGUACUUUAUGAAUAAGGAUCGGCUAACUCCGUGCCAGCAGCCGCGGUAAUACGGAGGAUCCGAGCGUUAUCCGGAUUUAUUGGGUUUAAAGGGAGCGUAGAUGGGUUGUUAAGUCAGUUGUGAAAGUUUGCGGCUCAACCGUAAAAUUGCAAUUGAUACUGGCAGUCUUGAGUACAGUUGAGGUAGGCGGAAUUUGUGGUGUAGCGGUGAAAGGCUUAGAUAUCACGAAGAACCCCGAUUGCGAAGGCAGCUUACUAAACUGUGACUGACAUUGAUGCUCGAAAGUGUGGGUAUCAAACAGGAUUAGAUACCCCAGUAGUC